UGCCAGCAGCCGCGGUAAUACGAGGGGUGCUAGCGUUGUCCGGAUUUACUGGGCGUAAAGGGUACGUAGGCGGAUUGGAGAGUUGGGGGUGAAAUCCCGGGGCUCAACCCCGGAACUGCCUCCAAAACUGCCAGUCUAGAGUUCGAGAGAGGUGAGUGGAACUCCAAGUGUAGAGGUGAAAUUCGUAGAUAUUUGGAAGAACACCAGUGGCGAAGGCGGCUCACUGGCUCGAUACUGACGCUGAGGUGCGAAAGUGUGGGGAGCAAACAGGAUUAGAUA
rnacentral:rRNA from 1 species